rnacentral:rRNA from 1 species
AUUGAACGCUGGCGGCAGGCUUAACACAUGCAAGUCGAGCGGGGGAGGUUGCUUCGGUAACUGACCUAGCGGCGGACGGGUGAGUAAUGCUUAGGAAUCUGCCUAUUAGUGGGGGACAACAUUCCGAAAGGGAUGCUAAUACCGCAUACGCCCUACGGGGGAAAGCAGGGGCUCGUCGGACCUUGCGCUGAUGGAUGAUCCCAAGUCGGAUUAGUUAGUUGGUGGGGUAAAGGCCUACCAAGGCGACGAGCUGUAGCGGGUCUGAGAGGAUGAUCCGCCACACUGGGACUGAGACACAGCCCAGACUCCUACGGGAGGCAGCAGUGGGGAAUAUUGGACAAUGGGCGGAAGCCUGAUCCAGCCAUGCCGCGUGUGUGAAGAAGGCCUUUUGGUUGUAAAGCACUUUAAGCGAGGAGGAGGCUACCUGGAUUAAUACUCUAGGAUAGUGGACGUUACUCGCAGAAUAAGCACCGGCUAACUCUGUGCCAGCCGCCGCAGUAA